rnacentral:lncRNA from 1 species
CCACUUCCCUCUAUGUCCAGGCUCCACAGUGAGCCCGUCCCAGACUCCCACUCCCCCAGAGCCACAGUGAUCAAAGGAAGGGAGGAAAACACGCUGGAACCCCUUGGACCUGCUGCUGAAUGGGGAUUUUGGUCGGAUGUUGAGUUUACCUGGAAUGCCCCGGUGCUAUUUUGGGAAGACAGACAUCCUAUGGAAACAAUGAAGUGGAAAAGAAAACAACUAAAGCAAAAUCCAGAGCCCAGUUUCUGCUAACCCAGCUCCACACAGCCUGGGCAGACCGUGGAAGCCCGUCAGGCGUGCAAAGGGCUGAGACUGAGUGUGUCCGGUUUACCAGCAGAGAAUGCGAGAUGUAGAAAAAGGGUCCCUUUGACAUUUCCAACAAGUCAGUGACGAAAUGGAAAGAUCCUGGGAACAGUCUGCAGAGCAGUUCUGACUGUGGCCAGCUGGCACAAGCACCAAUUUCCAGCCACUAACCACAGUACCCGUUCUCAAAGGUGCAGGAGCCAGACAAGUAAAUACACCCAGGCUGCUGACUGCGGGCAAAGCUUGGCACCUAGGCCAGCCUCAAAUUCCCAGCUGGCUCCUUUGUGUCAUGGGAGCAUCCCAGACUCCUCUCCUCCAGAUGAAAAAAAAUGAGCCAUCUUCCUAAAACAGCCUGCGGAGCUAGCUAGAGAACAUGCAGAACCUGUAAGCCCAGGAGCUCAGCUGUCCCAUCCUGGAAACAGACAUCUGUCUGCGCCUUCGUCUACAGAGCCCUGGCCCUCGCCUCUCGCUGUGAGCACCGCUCUCUCGUCUGCGUUCCAGUCGAGAGAUAAACAGAAUGGACUCGGAGGUGGACAUUGUUCUCCAACAGGCCUGACUGCAGCCCAGCUGGGCUAUGAGGAAGGAACUGUGCUCUGUGAUCAUGCCGGACAGAAGGAGAACAGAGUCAAAUGGGCUAACAUGUGUCUGUGCUCCUCUUGAGAGGCAAACCACAGGCCCAAAUCACAGCACUAACAAGUGGCAAAGCAAAGGAAGGAAUGCAGGUGCAGCUGGUUCCAGCGCUCAGGGCUCCUUCCUUCCCUGGAUGCGGAGAAUAUUCUAGCCUUCCUCGCCAAAACAGGCAGAGCAGAGCCAAGAGAUUUUGCAAAGACUGAAUCAUGAAGAAGGAACCAGGCCUCCCCUGGAUGAGCCUUGGAAAGCCCAACCACAGGGUCACAAAAAACAGUGAGGAAACAGAGGCACAGAGAGGUUAAGCAGUCUGCCUGAGGUCACCAAGUGAGAGAACUGAGAACUGUGAACCCACAGCUUUUGGAGUCUUAUACCUCUAGGUGGGAGAAUUUUCAGUCUGGGACAUGACUGAGGGAGUGGAAAUAAAGCGGAGGUUAGCAGUGUCCUUACUCCCACGAGGACAGGCCAGGAGCUCUGGCCCUGCCACAUUCAGGCCCCUGGGACCCACAGCACUGCAGCAGAACCAGAGAAGCUCCAGACCCUUGUCCCCAGGUUUUGAUGCCACCCCCAGGCCUUUGCCUGGGAUGGAAAGUCACCUGCUCCGUCACAGGGGAUACCCGGAAUAUCUGGGUUGGAUCACAGGCCAGCAGAAUUUGCGGAGGUUCAUCUCAUCCCAUAACAACCAAAAGGACUUGAGAGCUUGAUAUUUAAUGGAAAAGCCAUCACCAUUCUCAUGGAACUCAGCUGAAAGGAUGUAUGCUCAUGGGUGCCAG